rnacentral:lncRNA from 1 species
UCAGGCUAAAAUUUUCCUCCUUGAUCAUGACAUGUGAAAUGAGGACCUGCGGCUGUGGUGUCUUUCCAGCCUCCCAGUAACUCACCACUGUCCCUGCUCGCAAGUGGGGACAUCCAGGAGUGCCAUAAGUGAUGCACAGCAUCCAACAUCAGCCUGGAAAAUCCAUAUUCUGAUUUUUCACAGCUUUUAAAUGUUGUACUUUUCUCGAUUUUUUUUGUUUUCUUGGGUUUUUUUUUUUGUGUGUUUUUUUUUUUUUUAACAAUAAGAGAGAUUAGAAAAUGAAGAUUUUUGGUAGCCUCUCUCUGGAGCCGGGAUCAGCAUUUUGGAUCAGCUCAAGACCUCAUACUUGUGUUAUUUUAGAGAACUUUGACAUCUGGACUGAAACAGAUAUUUUACAGGAUAAUACCAAAAUUAGGAAGAAGAAAAAGUGUCAUUCAUUUUUUAUCAAGGGGAGAAAAAGCCAUUUUCCAACAAAUUCCAAACAAUUCUAG